UACGAAGGGGGCUAGCGGUGUUCGGGCUUACGGGGCGUAAAGCGCACGUAGGCGGCUCUGUAAGUUGGGGGUGAAAUCCCGAGGCUCAACCUCGGAAUUGCCUUCAAGACUGCAGGGCUUGAGUUCGGGAGAGGUGAGUGGAAUUCCCAGUGUAGAGGUGAAAUUCGUAGAGAUUGGGAAGAACACCAGUGGCGAAGGCGGCUCACUGGCCCGUAACUGACGCUGAGGUGCGAAAGCGUGGGGAGCAAAUAGG
rnacentral:rRNA from 1 species